rnacentral:lncRNA from 1 species
AGGGCUGGCCAGGCAGUGCUGCCUGCAGGCUGUGCAGUUGGCCUGGGGGUCUGGAGCCUCCGGGACCCACAGAUGCGCCCGCACCCUCAUCCCUGGCUUCUUUCGGCCCCACAGCGGGGCAGCAGCACUGCUGUCCUAGCCACGCCAGGCGCCAGUGUGGCCUGGUAAAGGCCUCGUGCAUUCUGUCCUGCUGGUGGGGGAGGCUGGCCUCUCAUGCGCUUGUCCUUAGAGGGCAGCAUGAAGAUGCCGCGCCCCACCGGGGAGACGAGGGGAGUGGACCCCUCAUGAGAUCCAGGCCGCAUGAGGCAGGGGCUGCCAUGACAGGAUACUGCAUGCGGGGGGCCUCAUGCAGCAGAAGUGGACUCUCUGAGUCCUGGGGCCAGACUUCAAAAUCAAGGUGUCGGCAGGGCCACCUCCUGCUGAAGGCUCCAGGAGAAAACCCUUCCUGCCGCUCCUAGCUUCCGGUGGCCCAGGCAGUCCUUGGCUUGUGUCCGCAUCGCUCCAGUUCUCUGCCUCCGUCUCACGUGACUGUGUCUCUGCACCUUUCCCCCUUCUCAGAACGUGUCCUUGGAUCUCAAGUCCACCCUCAUCCAGGAGGCUUUCAUCUCAAAAUCCUUAACUUAAUCCCAUCUAUCUGCAAAGACCCCUUUUCUAAAUCAGGUCCCAUUCUCCAGUUCCUCGGGUUAGGACCUGGACAAAUCUUUUGGGGGUGUCGUUCAUCAUCCAACUGCACUUGGCAUGGGAAGGCCCCCCUCCUGCCCCCUGGAUCUGCCUGUGAGCACAGGGGUCCCCUGGGGGUGUCCAGAGUGAGAACAAAUUCCGUCUGGGACAGAGCUGGCAGAGGCCCCGGACGCUGGCCUCCCGAGCGGGGUUGUGAUGUUGGACCCUGUUCUCAACACCAGGCCCACGCCACCAAUUCGUGCUUCUGUCUGGGCCAGGCUUCCCCGUCCCCCUGUCCCAGUCUCAGGAGGGUGUCUGCAGGUUUGUCUCCCUGGGGGACGGAGCCACGUUUGGGUUCCACUUCAUUCUCCAACUGCUCUGGUGCUGGACAGAAGCUGAGCCUGCCCGCCUCCAUAUGUGGGGUUGGAGAGCCUGGGGUACCCUGGCCUCAGAGGCAGUGAUGAUGGGGGAGGGAGAGAGAUGGGAGAGGGGCCUGGGAUGCCAUUGGAAUCUCUCAGGGCUUCAUCUGAGCUGUCUCUGCCCCCUUCUAGCAUUCCCAGGGGAGUUCCAGGAGGCCCAUGGCCCCUCCUGUACAGCCCUCCACCGCCCAGAGCCUUCCAGCGCCGUGUCUUCCCCUUGGAGCAUCUGGAGGCCCCAGACAGCACCCGCCUGACGUUCAGCAGAGGGGGAGACCGAGGCCUGCAGCAGAGUGUUUUGUCAGAUGCUGCUCCCUGACCGGGAGUGAGAGGGAACCCACCUAGAGGUGCCAGAUGGGGUGCCAGGGCAGCGUGGCCUGCAGGCCCCUCAGCUCCUCACAGCCCCUGCCCCCAGCCUUCCUGGGCCCAGAGAUCCCCUUGUUUACCCUAGUCCAGGGACAGAGGCUCAGAUGUCAUGCUUGACCCCACAGGUACAGGGUUAGGGGUGAAGGUGGCUGUCUCUUCAUGUCUUCACCAUGGCUUCUCUGCCUUCCUCCUGCUCCUGGUGGCUUAUGUCCUGCCGCUCUUGAUACGCGACUGUGGUCUGUCCUGGGAUGGUUAUGAUGCAUAUGUGCUAUUGUUGUGAACUGUAACAUUGAGGUCUGGCCUUACGGUUGGUUUUGAUUGUCCCUUCUGCUCCCUUUUCUUAUUUUAAUAUUUUACCAUUUUCCAUUUUA